GAGCUGCUUUACUUGGCCCUGCCACUCCAGUGAGCUGCUUGAAGAGUGUUAAAAUAAUGGCAGCUGCCAAGCUCUGGAAGGCUGCAGUGCUAGCCAGGGGUCCUGGCCCCCACGCUGCUGUUUACUCAAACUGCUGAGCCUCUCCUGGUGUUUGCGACUGUUUACUGGACAGAAGGGCACAAGACGGCUGGGCCUUUCUCCGGCCUCCAGCUUUCACAGGCAUUUCCUUUGGAGAAAACUAGCCUGAGAGCAGCUCACUCUAGGAACAACUUCAACGAGAUUCCUUGGAGGUUGAUAUCAAAACGUACUUGGAAACUGCAAUCAAAAAAACAGUUUGAUAUAAGAAGAAAUGAACAGAAUCGAAGAAAAAUCAGAAAUACACUCAGAAGUCUACGGAAUUUAGUUUACUGUAAACGUGAGAUUUCUGAUCACAUGGCAAAAGAGAGGUUCUCUAAGCAGUGGUUCUCAGAGUGUGGCUCCUGGAUCAACAGCAAUAAUAUUAUCUGGAAGUUCCUCAGAAAUGCAAAUACCUCAGCCUACCCCACCCUGAUGGAAUCAGAAAUCUAGGUAGGA